CUCACUAUUGCAAAAGAUAGCACCAAGGGGAUGGUGCUAAACCAUUAGUGAGAAAUCCACCCUUAUGAUCCAGUCACUUCUCAUCAGGCCACACCUCCAACAUUGAGGAUUACAAUUUAAUAUGAGAUUUGGUGGGGACACAGAUCUACACCAUAUCACCAUUUCUUCAAUUAAAAAGAAAUAAUAAUCGAGAAGUCUUUGUUAUUGGAAUUUAUGAUAGGUACUGCAAUAAUAAAACAUGAAAUUUCAGUUUAUACGUUAUCUUUUGUGGAAAGAGAGGAAAUGAAGAAUCUGUGUUCACAAGAUGUACAAAACUAUUGAAAUCUAAAUACUCAUGGAAUUACUCAUGCAGACCAAGACAAAAGUGAGGAUGUGAUUUGGAAUAAAACGUGAUCUCCUAGGAAUCCAGACUCACACAAUGGCUGGGCC